UUUAACUUCCCCAAAUUCUUGUCCACAGAAUCUAGCAAGAUGGUGCGCAGGCUAAAAUACAUGCAGAGAAGUUCAAGAAGAACACGUCCAGAAUGCUGGUCAAUGUUUCUCUACAAAACCACAAGUCCGCACACAGUUUGUCAGCCUUCGAACGGUGCAGUGCUCGUGAACUUGGACCAUGGCAAUGUAUUUGCACACCGUUGGACUUCACACAUAGCAUGUACAGGCGUGGACUUGGGUGCAGGUGUAGUUGUCCGCCAGACCACAAUAACACGAGUGGAGCAGACCUACAAAGACCAGCCAUCCAAGUUCGCGAGGUCCAUGAUGAGGAUUUUGUUCAUGGACGAAGAAAUGAUGAACAAGUUCGUUUUUGGACUGCAGGCCAACAGCAACAAAGACCAU